AGCAGCCGCGGUAAUUCCAGCUCCGAUAGCGUAUAUUAAAGUUGUUGCAGUUAAAAAGCUCGUAGUUGAAUUUCGGGGUUAGUAGGUUGGUCAUGCCUCUGGUAUGCACUGGCCUCACUGAUUCCUCCUUCCUGAUGAGCCGUAAUGCCAUUAAUUUGGUGUUGCGGGGAAUUUGGACUGUUACUUUGAAAAAAUUAGAGUGUUUAAAGCAAGCUAACGCUUGAAUACAUUAGCAUGGAAUAAUGAAAUAGGACGUUCGAUCCUAUUUUGUUGGUUUCUAGGAUUGACGUAAUGAUUAAUAGGGAUAGUUGGGGGCAUUAGUAUUCAAUUGUCAGAGGUGAAAUUCUUGGAUUUAUUGAAGACUAACUACUGCGAAAGCAUUUGCCAAGGAUGUUUUCAUUAAUCAAGAACGAAAGUUAGGGGAUCGAAGACGAUCAGAUACCGUCGUAGUCUUAACCAUAAACUAUGCCGACUAGGGAUCGGAUGAUGUUAAUUUUUUAAUGACUCAUUCGGCGCCUUACG
rnacentral:rRNA from 1 species